UUAAGUUCAGCGGGUAGUCCUACCUGAUUUGAGGUCAAGUUUGUCAAGUUAUUUUCGUCGUUGUAAGCAGCGCAAUCUGUUCAUGCAGCAUACCAAAGGCAUAGAUAAUUUAUCACACCUAUAGUAGCAGCUCAGAUGCCACUAAUGCGUUUCAGGGGAGCCGACCUUUGAGAAUUCAAAAAGCCUGCAAAGACCCCCAC
rnacentral:misc_RNA from 1 species